GGGAAAACUGUGUUGCAAGAGGUUCAUCGACAGACAGAAGAAAUACAAACCUAACUCAGCAAGCCAUUCCUCUAGUCAACCUCUGUCAAAGCUAAGCAGCCACGAAACUGCAUCUACAGAAAUUUUCUUUAAUUCAAAAUAGUUGAUUUAAUUUUUUCUGACGAGUGUACAUAUUUUAUCUAUUUAAAACGCUUGUUUUGGGUUUUUCAAAAAUCAAACAUAGGUUUUCUUUUUUGUUGUUGACGAUGUUUUUUCAGCGUAGUUCGUUUGUAUAUUGUAGUAUAUUGCAUUACACAGGUUUACUAAAAUGAAAUAAAUUUUAAAUCCUUG
rnacentral:misc_RNA from 1 species